UACGUAGGGUGCGAGCGUUAAUCGGAAUUACUGGGCGUAAAGGGUGCGCAGGCGGUUCUGCAAGUCAGGCGUGAAAUCCCCGGGCUUAACCUGGGAAUGGCGCCUGAAACUACGGGACUGGAGUAUGGCAGAGGGAGGUGGAAUUCCACGUGUAGCGGUGAAAUGCGUAGAGAUGUGGAGGAACACCGAUGGCGAAGGCAGCCUCCUGGGCCAAUACUGACGCUCAUGCACGAAAGCGUGGGGAGCAAACAGG
rnacentral:rRNA from 1 species